ACUUAAAACAAAUCUUCUAGGGCCUAUCCAUUCCAUUUUUGUUUUGUAUUGCUUGCAGUGCUGAGGAGGGAGCCCAGUGCCUCCUGCAUGCUAGGCAAGCACUCUGUCUGUGAUGUACACCUCUCCUGCCCAGCCAAUUGCUUUGCUGGUCAGCUUGGCUGCUCUUACUAUUCCCCAUGGGCUCCUCUCUGUGCUGUUCCUCUUCUAUAGCUCCCUGGGCCCUUCACAUCCAGAAACACCCCAGGCCAGCCACUUGCCCACCCAAACUCCAUCUUGGCUCCAGGACAAACAGGACCAACUGAGCAGCUGAACGAGGAUACUGGCCUUGUGGCCUUCUGGCGGACACUGGAUUAGCAGAGGUGUGACGUGGGACUGCAGAGCUGCUUUCUGAGCUGAAGGUUUUGUAGGUUCAAAGUAGGAGGGGUGAGGAGCCAGCCCAGGGAAUGGCUGUCCUCCUGGAAAGAAGGGGGUGGUUUGGGGACAGGGCGUGUCAGUGUUAUUCUCCUUAGCACCCAGGGGAGCCAAGCACACACACCUGUCUGAAAACCCAAGAUGUGCAUUUAGCAUAUAGAACAAACUAGAGAAAUCAGGGGAAGGACCCAAGGGGAGGAUGUUUUUUUAGGUUUAAUUGGGGCUUCUGGACCACUCCCCUAAACUCCACCCUUACACAGCAGGUUAACAGAGGGCCCUUUUCUUUUCUUUCUUUUUUUUUCUUU